GGAUCCAGACUUUGAUCAUGGCUCAGGACGAACGCUGGCGGCGUGCCUAACACAUGCAAGUCGAACGGAACUUUUUUAAUUGACUUCUUCGGAAUGAUUUUGAUUAAGUUUAGUGGCGGACGGGUGAGUAACGCGUGAGUAACCUGCCUCUAAGAGGGGAAUAACAUUCUGAAAAGAAUGCUAAUACCGCAUAAUAUAUAUUUAUCGCAUGGUAGAUAUAUCAAAGAUUUAUCGCUUAGAGAUGGACUCGCGUCCGAUUAGUUAGUUGGUGAGGUAACGGCUCACCAAGACCGCGAUCGGUAGCCGGACUGAGAGGUUGAACGGCCACAUUGGGACUGAGACACGGCCCAGACUCCUACGGGAGGCAGCAGUGGGGGAUAUUGCGCAAUGGGGGA
rnacentral:rRNA from 1 species